rnacentral:rRNA from 1 species
UUGCCAUGCGCGCUAAAUGCAGUCGACGAGAAGCCACCUUCGGGUGGUGGACAGUGGCAGACGGGCCCAUUAACGCGUGGGAACGUGCCUUUCGGUUCGGAAUAACCCACGGAAACUUGGGCUAAUACCGGAUACGCCCUUCGGGGGAAAGAUUCAUUGCCGAAAGAUCGGCCCGCGUCGGAUUAGCUAGUUGGUGGGGUAAUGGCUCACCAAGGCGACGAUCCGUAGCUGGUCUGAGAGGAUGACCAGCCACACUGGGACUGAGACACGGCCCAGACUCCUACGGGAGGCAGCAGUGGGGAAUAUUGGACAAUGGGCGCAAGCCUGAUCCAGCCAUGCCGCGUGGGUGAAGAAGGCCUUAGGGUUGUAAACCCCUUUCAGCGGGGACGAUAAUGACGGUACCCGCAGAAGAAGUCCCGGCUAACUCCGUGCCAGCAGCCGCGGUAAUACGGAGGGGACUAGCGUUGUUCGGAAUUACUGGGCGUAAAGCGCACGUAGGCGGAUUUGUAAGUCAGGGGUGAAAUCCCGGGGCUCAACCUCGGAACUGCCUUUGAUACUGCGAAUCUCGAGUCCGGAAGAGGAGGGUGGAAUACCCAGUGUAGAGGUGAAAUUCGUAGAUAUUGGGUGGAACACCGGUGGCGAAAGCGGCUCUCUGGUCCGAACCUGACGCUGAGGCGCGAAAGCGUGGGGAGCCAACAGGAUUAGAUACCCUGGUAGCCCACGCCCUAAACCGAUGCGGGCUACACGUUGGGGGGGCUUGUCCCUCCGGUGUCGCAGCUAAACGCGUUUAUCCCGCCCCUCUGGGGAAGUACGGCCGCAAUG